rnacentral:snoRNA from 1 species
CCUCUCUCAGGGUCGCACCAGGAGAGCUUCCAGUACUCUACCAGUCUCAGCUACUGGAGGGAGAGUCAAGCAGAGGCCUACCCCUUCCAUUCCUAGCUUGGCCAGUGGCUAGCGAGUGGAAAGCAAUCUGCUACAAGU